rnacentral:tRNA from 1 species
UAGAAGAUAAUAUAAGGGGAGUAUGGAGAGUUUUGAUCUCUUUUGUGUGGGUUCGACUCCCACCCUUCUAA